rnacentral:rRNA from 1 species
AGAGUUUGAUCCUGGCUCAGGACGAACGCUGGCGGCGUGCUUAACACAUGCAAGUCAAGGACUGUAGCAAUACAGGACUGGCGCACGGGUGCGGAACACGUAGGUAAUCUGCCCUUUAGNGGAAGAACAACCCGUCGAAAGACGGGCUAAAACUUCGUAAUAUCACGAGACGGCAUCGUUUUGUGAUCAAGCUUUCUAAGGGAUGAGCCUGCGUCUGAUUAGCUAGUUGGUGAGGUAACGGCUCACCAAGGCUACGAUCAGUAGCUGGUCUGAGAGGAUGAUCAGCCACAUUGGGACUGAGAUACGGCCCAGACUCCUACGGGAGGCAGCAGUGAGGAAUAUUGCUCAAUGGGGGAAACCCUGAAGCAGCAACGCCGCGUGAGGGAUGAAGGCGCUCUGCGUUGUAAACCUCUGUAGUUGGGGACAAAUGUGGGGUUAUUACCCCAUUGAUGGUACCCAAAAAGUAAGGAUCGGCUAACUACGUGCCAGCAGCCGCGGUAAUACGUANGAUCCGAGCGUUGUCCGGAUUUACUGGGUGUAAAGGGUGCGCAGGCGGACUGGUAAGUCAGUGGUGAAAUCUCGUCGCUUAACGACGAAACUGCCUUUGAUACUAUCAGUCUUGGAGUCCGGGUAGAGAUCUGUGGGAAUUCCGAGUGUAGCAGUGAAAUGUGUAGAUAUUCGGNAAGAACACCA